UGGGGAAUUUUGGACAAUGGGGGCAACCCUGAUCCAGCCAUCCCGCGUGUGCGAUGAAGGCCUUCGGGUUGUAAAGCACUUUUGGCAGGGAAGAAACAGCCUGGGAUAAUACCCCCGGGCGACUGACGGUACCUGCAGAAUAAGCACCGGCUAACUACGUGCCAGCAGCCGCGGUAAUACGUAGGGUGCAAGCGUUAAUCGGAAUACCGGGCGUAAAGCGUGCGCAGGCGGUUCGGAAAGAAAGGUGUGAAAUCCCAGGGCUUAACCUUGGAACUGCACUUUUAACUACCGACUAGAGUACGUCAGAGGGGGGUAGAAUUCCACGUGUAGCAGUGAAAUGCGUAGAGAUGUGGAGGAAUACCGAUGGCGAAGGCAGCCCCCUGGGAUGAUACUGACGCUCAUGCACGAAAGCGUGGGGAGCAAACAGGAUUAGAUACCCUGGUAGUCCACGCCCUAAACGAUGUCAACUAGCUGUUGGGGGUUUAUUAACCUUAGUAGCGCAGCUAACGCGUGAAGUUGA
rnacentral:rRNA from 1 species